rnacentral:rRNA from 1 species
CGACCUACGGGGGGCAGCAGUGGGGAAUAUUGGACAAUGGGCGCAAGCCUGAUCCAGCCAUGCCGCGUGAGUGAUGAAGGCCUUAGGGUUGUAAAGCUCUUUCGCCGACGAAGAUAAUGACGGUAGUCGGAGAAGAAGCCCCGGCUAACUUCGUGCCAGCAGCCGCGGUAAUACGAAGGGGGCUAGCGUUGUUCGGAAUCACUGGGCGUAAAGCGCACGUAGGCGGACAUUUAAGUCAGGGGUGAAAGCCUGGAGCUCAACUCCAGAACUGCCCUUGAUACUGGGUGUCUCGAGUCCGGAAGAGGUAAGUGGAACUGCGAGUGUAGAGGUGAAAUUCGUAGAUAUUCGCAAGAACACCAGUGGCGAAGGCGGCUUACUGGUCCGGUACUGACGCUGAGGUGCGAAAGCGUGGGGAGCAAACAGGAUUAGAUACCCCGGUAGUCC